UUUCAUACAUAUAAUAUUUUUAUAUUUUUUUUUUCUGAUUUUUAAUCAUAUUUAUUUCUCGUAUUGGUUAUCAGACUUGUGUAUUUUAUAUAUUGGACUAUAGUAGUACAAUGGGUAUUACUCGCGUCAACAACAAAAUGUGUUUUACAUAGACGCAUAGAAUACAAUAAUCGAAAUACAUGUAUUAAAUUGUAAAGGAUUAUGUUAAUGGCGAGGUCCAGCAGGAAAAAGAAAUGUUGGAAGGCAAAGAAAGAGAUGGGCAGAUGACAUAAUAAAGAUAGCAGGAAACAACUGGACAAGUAUUGCUACAGAUAAGGAGAAGUGGAAAAAGAUGGAGGAGGCAUUUACCGUUGGGGACCACGGAAGUGGAUAAAAAAGCUAUAAUAAUAAUAAUGUUCAUGUUCAUAUGACAGGUGUAAGAAAAAAAAAAUGGAUAUCAAACAAUGCAAAUAGCAUUUUGUUUUCCCGGGAAAUCAGUACCUUCAGACAGACUGGCUGUUAUAAUUAAAGAAAUGAAAGUUGGAAGACGGGGCUGAUUGUGACAGCAACAGCAUGUGACUUAUCAAGAGUCAACAUAAAGGCUCUAGAUAUCCUCGGUGUCGUGAAGAAGACAUAUUUCAACUAAAUGAUAAUGAUAAAUUUAAAAAGUUUUUAUUGUCAACCGAAAUACAAUCAGAUGUGCAUUCCAGCAAGUGUUCUACUGUAGAUCUAGAACCACUAACUGCUGACGCAACAGCUGUAAUAGAGCAGGUGUCUGGUGAAGUUCAGACAUGACCAUAUGUCUGUGGGUUUAUAUGUAAAAAAAUUAUACAGUGUAAUGAAUGUACUACUUGUACAGAAAUAUUUUUGGCUUCAGGACCCACAGACAAUGUUUACGUAACCUUAAUUUAUUUAAAAGUCUCAUUCCCCCCUAAGGAUCCAUGUGUACUAUAUGGAUGGAUAAUUUCACCAAGUAACGGCUAUUGUAAAUACUUUUUAUUUAAUAGAUUUCUUUGAAGAUUUAAAACAUGUAUUGAACGUUAGAUUUAAUUGAACUGGCAUCCAUUUUAAUUUUAUACUAGUUUUUGGAAGCACCUACGUAUAGGAAUGGAAGUUAUGGGUUAAUUGUAAGUUGACUAAAUGUAAAAAAUAUUUAGUUGUAUUUUAUCUUAAGUUUGAAUUUCUUAAUUAUAUUUUAUUAACCCUUAUCCAAAUAAAUAUUUUUAUCGCUUCUAAUAAUAAUGGCG